rnacentral:rRNA from 1 species
GACGAAGGAUCCAAGCGUUAUCCGGAUUUAUUGGGUUUAAAGGGUGCGUAGGCGGAUUGAUAAGUCAGUGGUGAAAGCCUGCAGCUUAACUGCAGAACUGCCAUUGAUACUGUCAAUCUUGAAUAUGGUUGAUGUGGGCGGAAUAUGACAUGUAGCGGUGAAAUGCUUAGAUAUGUCAUAGAACACCGAUUGCGAAGGCAGCUCACAAAGCCAUUAUUGACGCUGAGGCACGAAAGCGUGGGGAUCAAACAGG